GAAUUCGCCCUUAGAGUUUGAUCCUGGCUCAGGACGAACGCUGGCGGCGCGCCUAACACAUGCAAGUCGAACGAGCGAGAGAGAGCUUGCUUUCUCGAGCGAGUGGCGAACGGGUGAGUAACGCGUGAGGAAUCUGCCUCAAAGAGGGGGACAACAGUUGGAAACGACUGCUAAUACCGCAUAAGCCCACGGUGCCGCAUGGCACAGAGGGAAAAGGAGCAAUCCGCUUUGAGAUGGCCUCGCGUCCGAUUAGCUAGUUGGUGAGGUAACGGCCCACCAAGGCAACGAUCGGUAGCCGGACUGAGAGGUUGAACGGCCACAUUGGGACUGAGACACGGCCCAGACUCCUACGGGAGGCAGCAGUGGGGAAUAUUGCACAAUGGGGGAAACCCUGAUGCAGCGACGCCGCGUGGAGGAAGAAGGUCUUCGGAUUGUAAACUCCUGUUGUUGGGGAAGAUAAUGACGGUACCCAACAAGGAAGUGACGGCUAACUACGUGCCAGCAGCCGCGGUAAAACGUAGGUCACAAGCGUUGUCCGGAAUUACUGGGUGUAAAGGGAGCGCAGGCGGGAAGACAAGUUGGAAGUGAAAUCUAUGGGCUCAACCCAUAAACUGCUUUCAAAACUGUUUUUCUUGAGUAGUGCAGAGGUAGGCGGAAUUCCCGGUGUAGCGGUGGAAUGCGUAGAUAUCGGGAGGAACACCAGUGGCGAAGGCGGCCUACUGGGCACCAACUGACGCUGAGGCUCGAAAGUGUGGGUAGCAAACAGGAUUAGAUACCCUGGUAGUCCACACCGUAAACGAUGAUUACUAGGUGUUGGAGGAUUGACCCCUUCAGUGCCGCAGUUAACACAAUAAGUAAUCCACCUGGGGAGUACGACCGCAAGGUUGAAACUCAAAGGAAUUGACGGGGGCCCGCACAAGCAGUGGAGUAUGUGGUUUAAUUCGACGCAACGCGAAGAACCUUACCAAGUCUUGACAUCCCUUGACAGACAUAGAAAUAUGUAAUCUCUUCGGAGCAAGGAGACAGGUGGUGCAUGGUUGUCGUCAGCUCGUGUCGUGAGAUGUUGGGUUAAGUCCCGCAACGAGCGCAACCCUUAUGGUCAGUUACUACGCAAGAGGACUCUGGCCAGACUGCCGUUGACAAAACGGAGGAAGGUGGGGAUGACGUCAAAUCAUCAUGCCCUUUAUGACUUGGGCUACACACGUACUACAAUGGCGUUAAACAAAGAGAAGCAAGACCGCGUGGUGGAGCAAAACUCAGAAACAACGUCCCAGUUCGGACUGCAGGCUGCAACUCGCCUGCACGAAGUCGGAAUUGCUAGUAAUCGUGGAUCAGCAUGCCACGGUGAAUACGUUCCCGGGCCUUGCACUCACCGCCCGUCA
rnacentral:rRNA from 1 species